UACGUAGGGUGCAAGCGUUGUCCGGAAUUAUUGGGCGUAAAGAGCUCGUAGGCGGUUAGUCACGUCGGCUGUGAAAACCUGGGGCUCAACCCCGGGCCUGCAGCCGAUACGGGCUGACUAGAAUUCGGUAGGGGAGACUGGAAUUCCUGGUGUAGCGGUGAAAUGCGCAGAUAUCAGGAGGAACACCGAUGGCGAAGGCAGGUCUCUGGGCAUUAACUGACGCUGAGGAGCGAAAGCAUGGGGAGCGAACAGG
rnacentral:rRNA from 1 species